rnacentral:rRNA from 1 species
GUGGGGACCGCCGCUGCUAAAGCGGAGGAAGGAAUGGGCAACGGUAGGUCAGUAUGCCCCGAAUAUCCCGGGCUACACGCGAGCUACAAUGGUUGGUACAAUGGGUAUCUACCCGAGAGGGGAUGGAAAUCUCCUAAAACCAAUCUCAGUCCGGAUUGAGGGCUGCAACUCGCCCUCAUGAAGCUGGAAUCCGUAGUAAUCGCGUUUCAACAGAACGCGGUGAAUACGUCCCUGCUCCUU